GCGGGGCCUGAACUGCUAUUUCGCUCUUGAGCGGACGGCGGUGUACGCAUCCCGCUUCACUGUGGGGCCUGAACUGCUGGCCUUGGAAUGGAAUGGGGAUCGGAUUGCUGGGCGCUGGGGCCGUGGACGAGGAGAGGAAGGUGCACGGCGGCUGGAGGCCGCGGGUCGAUCGGCAUCCAUGGCAGGGAGCAGUUCACUUUGUGAUUAUCUGUUUCAUAUUGUGAAUCAUUUCACAUUGAUGGAUGAUACUAUGAUAGAAUCGUCAAGGUUAUUGCUUGCAGCUUGCACGCUGUCUGCACGGAAUUGCCUGGACGAUCACAGAGGAGAUUGGCACCACCAAAUGGCGAUCUUGCCACGAUUAACUGGAGGAACUUUACCAGGAUGGCCGAACAAGGUGUCCUGAUGAGGCUAGCAGGCUACGAGCAUUCAUACAUCGUUGACACUACCAACAUUGCUCGGCUAGCCCCCAAAAAAGAGCCCAAAUUGACUUGACUCCAUGUACAGUGCUCUCGAGAAAGGCAAGGGCAAGGCCUGUAGGCAGUAAGAAACAAAUGCUCAUGUUGUAAAUAUGGCCUUAUUAUGGACAGAUGCUGCCCAUGCACGUGCUAUGAUGUU